ACUUAUUAAAUAGAAUAAAAAUGAGUUCAAGGAGUCGACCUGCUCGAAUUUACGUUGGAAAUUUGCCACCCGAUAUUAGAGUUUCUGAUAUUAAGGAGCUCUUCGAUUCUCGUAAAUAUGGAAAAAUAUCGGAUGUAGAUUUGAAGAAUGAAAAGGGACCUCCUUUUGCAUUUGUCGAGUUUGAAAAUCAGGAUGAUGCAGAUUAUGCUGUAGAAAAACGGCACGGAUACGACUAUGACGGUUACAAGCUGCGUGUGGAAUACCCCAAAGGAGCCAGAGAUUCAAGAGAUAGAUUUGGAGGUGGUGGAGGAGGCUUCUCUCGUGACAGAGGUGGAAGAGGAGGCCGGUUCGAGCCGCGAUCAUCGAAAUAUAGGGUGUCUGUUUCUGGCUUGCCCAAAUCUGGAUCGUGGCAAGAUCUGAAAGACCACAUGCGGGAGGCUGGAGAUGUUCUGUUUACAGAUGUAUUCCGAAAUGGUUCGGGUAUAUGCGAAUUUAAAACAUCAGAGGCAAUGCGAUAUGCAAUAGAUAAGCUACACGACUCAAAGUUCACAUCGCACGAAAACGAGACAUCAUACAUAAGUGUAAGAAGCGAUGACAAGGGACGCUCGCGCUCGAGGAGUAGAUCACGACGGAGAUCACGGUCUCGCGACAGGCGUCGUGAUCGAAGUAGGUCGAGAUCAAAAAGUCGAUCACCGAAAAGAGGAAGGAGCCGAUCGAAGAGCGAUAGUCACAGAGCCAGGACUAGGUCCAGAACUGGAUCUCGUUAAGUGUCCGCCCUAACAAACAAACAAUAUAUGAGAGAAAGCUGCCGCAUUGAAUUCUCUCUAGCAAGGAACUGAUCGUACAAGUCCCUUCGAAGGAUCCACGCCUAAGGAUGGAUAAACGCUCGGAUAAUUGAGGAUUCGUCUCUUAAAGGAGCCCCCAAAACAAGGAAAAAAAUAAGAUGAAUCUUUCGAAAAAUGGACAUUUCUUCGCUGUUCUUUGGACGCUAUGGAUUUCUUGUGCUUUAUUGUAGGAUUAAGCGAUAAAUAAUCUGGGAUUUUUGCAGUAAAAUCUGGUCAAUGGACAAUCAAAGGAUUCUUCUUCGUUUAGCAAGGAUUCUUCUAAGGAGUUUCUAGGAUGGAUUCUCUUUUGCUGAUUCUUGAUUUCUAUGAAUGAGUGUGAUAGGACUAGAAGUCGAUUCUGCGGAGCUCAACGGGACGUACUCUUCUACUCAUCUUGUGAAAAAAACUCAACUCUCUGAAAAAACACGGAAAUUUAGCAUCCUCACCUUAACUAUUCUCUUUAAUGAAUUUUGAAGCCUAUCUUGUAUGGUUUUCCUGAUAAAUGCUA